ensembl:lncRNA
AAUUAAUUAUGCCAAUUUUCAUUCAACCAUGUUUAUUUUGGGGGACAAAUAAGUUCUGUAGGGCGGGCACUGUCCACCUACGCUUGGGUGUACAAGCGUCAUGCUCUCACAAAAUGAGCUACAUGACAAAAUAAUGCCAUCACAGUUUUUUGUUUGACAUACAUUGAAUAAAAAAAAAAAAAAAACAUAAAUAUUCUUGGGGUGAGCAAUGACCUCCCUGAUAUCAAGAACUCAUGACAGCCUACAGUUGCUAGGUAACUUGCAAGACAGGUAGGAAGUAGGCUACUCAACAUCAUCAUUAGCUACCGGCUUCCGGCUGCAGAAGGAAACUUUUGUCUGAGUGCUCUUAUUGGAGUGUUGUAAGUAACAGAUUAAAUAAUUUUUUUGUCAUUUUUGCAUGCUAAAUAUAACAGUCUUGACGUAUUUACUUAUUUUAUAUUUUAGUUAUUAUUCUCAAACCUUUUCUGAUAUAGUUUAUAUUACUUCAACCAGCUAAUCCAAAUGUCUAAUCAUUGAUUUUCAUGUCAUUGGCUGCUGUGCUUUCUCUAGGCUAGUUUUAUAAUAUGUAGGGCCAGCCAUUACUGUAUUUCUUUUAACACCUAUUCAAUUGAACUAGCUGUCUAGAAUCUAGUCAAUUCCUCUAAUGAAGUCAAGGGGUAUUAAAUAGUGGCUUUGGUUCUUAUUAAGAAACAGAGAGGAUAUUUUUCUGGGCUGCCAUGGGUAAUCAGAGUGGAAACAAAACAGUGAUGAGGGUUUGUAUGUCUGUUAGUCUAGUGGAGUGGCACCGUGGUUUAAUUCAUGGUGGUUCCACUCAAUAACAGAUACUGGUGUAGGAUGUCUGCCAUGCAUUGGGAAGCCCGGCGCCGGCAGGCCAUGGUUGACCGCAGAAUGUCCAGAGCCAAGCAGCAGAUGGCAAAGGACCCUCCGGAGCAAAGCUCAAAGCCAGAGGCAGAGGCUAAGGCACCGACUCAACAGCCAGGUACCAUCGAAAUGUGCAUUCUAUUAGGUAUGGCCAAAAAGGGUCAAUAUUACACAAAACAAGAUUUAUAACAAGGCAGACAUGCUCAUGUAAAUAUGCUUCAUAAAUUAGUCUUCCUCCUGAUUUUUAUUUAGGCAAAGGGAAUCAGUUUCUGUUUAAGAAGUAUCAUCUGUGGGCUCAUGUUCAAACUUGUGUUGUCCAUCACAGAGCCUAGAAAACCGGAGCCAUUAAUCCCAACGGUCAACACUUGGAGAACAAUGGCAUUACAGUUCACUCUCCAAACCCUUCUAGUGUCCAAUGAAUAUCUAUGUAAAUCUUUUAGCCUCAUCUUUGCAGACACAUCAGUGAUUCCCAUUAUUAACUCAAUGGGGACACGGACAACAGUCCUGGGUAACACAAAGGACCCUACAUGUGAAUUAUUCAAGUCCUAGCAAGCCCUGGGACUAGAUUAGAUGGUUUGAAUAUGUUUUUCAACAUGUUUUGAUCCUGAUACGGCUCCGGACUGGCGAAAGGAUAAGGGACAGAAACAUUUACACAGUAGCUGUUCAUCCAGUGGUCACUACUUGAAAAACUGGUCUUGGGUAUGUACACAUAGCUAUGGAGGGUUUGAAUGAAUCCCAAAGUCUCUAGCAGUGCUUGUUACGCUCCGCUGUCCUCUCAUUAGAAUAGAGCCUGUUAAAUAUUACAUGAGACCCCACGGUGCCUCUGCUUCUACUGUGCUCAAAUAUCCCAGAUGAGGGCUUACAGGGAUUGGAAUCCUGAGGUUUGUAACAGGGAGCCAUGACUUGGGUUGUGUUCAAUAAAAAGAAAACAGGAUAAAGCACUUUUUAUGACAAUGAACGCCCUUUUUGGAUUAGUUAACAAUAGUGGCAAUAAUAAGCAAGGUGUUUAGUUAGUUUAGUUUUCCCAUAUCUGUAAAAAUUGCAACAAUCACUUUAAGCUUAGGACCACUACAAUAGUACUGCCCUAUCAGAAAAUGAGACACCAUUAUUUGUCACUGCAAUCUUGGAAGUAUUGUAUUGAAUUCCUUAAUCGAACAGUGUUUACAAACCUACCAUCCUCUUGUCCUUCUUGUCUUCCAGCUGGGAACGAAUGUCCAAAUUGCAGCAAAAACAACUUAAUGAACUUGACAACAUACAACGCUAAGAUUGAAAAUAGAUACUCAGUGAGUGACUGUAAUGCACAUUGAUAAAGCUAUUUAUGUUGUUGAUAUACAGUUAAAACAAGAUUUUAGGAGUGCUUAUUUAUUUUUUGACAGUCCAUACAGUACUCUCAGCAAUGGUGAAGACUCCUUAUCCAGUCUAAUGAAGAAGACCCAUAUGCAAAAGAGGCUGAACUAAUAACUAAUGAACUAAUAAAAUAUAAUUGUUAAUAUAAUUGUGUAGCUUAUCCCACUACUUCUAGCAGUAUUAUUUAUAUUUGAGUAGUAUAUUAUAUUUCAGGACAUUUUCCACACACAGAUUGAGUGAAAAAGAGUAAGGGAUGGUAAGUUCAACUCUUUUUCACAUAUAUCUUUUCGAGCCUUCUGUAAAAAUAAAUGUUGAGACAUUUCGUUCAUUAGUGUCAGUAAAGGCUUGGGCAUGCUGUGUAGUUAUGAGGGAAUGCUUACCAAUUGCAACACUUUGUGAAUGGAUUACAACACCCUUUUAUGGCGAAUUGUGUUCUCAGUCUUUUCGAGUAUGCGUGUUCCAGAAAUAAAAAAUAGUCUAAUUGUUCAGGAAACUUCACCAUCUGGCAACACUGCUUCCAGCAAUUCUACAGGAUUGGGUUGGGCAAAUCACAUCUCAACUAAUCGCACCAUACUGCCCCCUAGUAAUAUUACUGAGUUUGAGUAAUCAAAAAGUUACGUUACGGAUUACAAAUGUGGACAGGUAACUUGUAACGGAUUACAUUUAAAAGUAUAAACUUGAAUUUGGGCAUGUGUAGAAAUACCCUUUAAAUUACCAACACUAGUACAUUUACGUAUUAACAUUUAUUCACAAGUUAGUAUAUCUUCCAUGUCCAUAGUGUUUAGCUGAAUGCAGAUGCACGGACACUAAAUGCACUUUGCGUAGCACGCAAUAAUGUUUUGGAAACAUAUGGAAAGUAUAUCCCAUUCGAUCAUUGCAGUUGAAAAUCUAAAUCUAAUGAUGCUUAAGCUUGUUGAUAUGUGUUUUAUUCAUGUUUUUCAUUGCUUCAAAACAUUUUUGAAAAGUAAAUGGCAAUUACUCGAAAAGGGUAUUGACAUUGUUGUAUAUAAAAUUAAGAUAUCCGUAGCUUUUCACGCAUAAACUAAAUCUGCAGUAGUCUGAUGAUUUGCUCCACAACCAACAUUGUCAAAAUGUUGCAGUAACCCCCUGCACACGAAUGCACAUUUGCAACCCUGAACACCUGCAUAGAAAUAAGAUUUACCCGCGCAAAAGUAACCUGCGAUUAUUAUGGCUACCAGUGAUGGAUUUUCAAAACGCAAAUGAAAGAAAUAAACGGUGAUUAUAAACCUGCACUCUUAGCUUAAAGUAAAUGACGUCAGCAGCCAAUGAUAACCAAUGAACACAAUUUUCAGAGAUGCAAAGCAAGCAGUAUCACAUGGCCUACCUGCAUGGACGGAUGUGGCAGCGAGGUAAAGUUAGUUUUAUAAUGGACAUUCAGUGGAAAUUCCUAUUCACCCGUCAAAAACCAACUAAUUUAGGGCAAU